CCUCUUUCGAACGGGGCGAUCUUCCUUGCCAGAGCUCUUCCCUCUUACGAAGGGCGCAAUCUUCCUCGCCAGAGCUCUGAAUCCUUGAAGAAUUUCCUCGUUCCGUGCAGAUUCAUCUCAAAUAUUAUAAGCCUCAUGCUGCGUGGAUCAGCUUGAAUGCACGGGUUGAUGAAAGCAUAGAUCAGAGGAUCGGGCUUGGCCCCAGCAACGCCGGAUUUCAGCUCCAACUCAAGGUUCCCUGAAUGGAUGUUGAUUUCCUGGUUACAGCAGAUAGAGCUCACCAAGAACGUCUCAACUAUUUGAGCAGUGACCCACAAAUGGAUGGUGUGGAAGAAUAUUGCUGCAUGUUGGUGGCAAUCGGCCUUGAACAGGAAUAGCCUUCAACCGUUUGACCAAAGAUCACCCCAAUUGGACAGUCCUAGCCGCUUGAUUUGAUUAAAAAAGGCAAGUCCUUGAGCCCUGUUCUGAUUGAGCAUUUUGGGUCUAAUGUUUUUCUGGGUUUUGAUUGAUAUUGGGUCUUCAUCAAUACCUGCUUUGGCUUUUAUUUUGAUUCCCUCAAUCAUCUGUCACACUGACAGAGUAUCAAUUCUCUACUUGCCACUACAUUUCCUGAUUUCAGUUAAUCAACUUACCAAUUCCUUCAUCGCGAUAAACUGCUCAUCAAUCAAAUGACAGCUCCAUCCCUAAGAAUAAAUUUCCAGUUAAUAGAACAGAAAAUAUCAACACAUACAGGAAGAACUCAAACCAG